CGCAAGUCGAGGGGUAUAGCUUCUUCGGAAGCAGAGACCGGCGCACGGGUGCGUAACGCGUAUGCAAUCUACCUUUUACAGAGGGAUAGCCCAGAGAAAUUUGGAUUAAUACCUCAUAGCAUAGCAACUUCGCAUGAAGUCACUAUUAAAGUCACAACGGUAAAAGAUGAGCAUGCGUCCCAUUAGCUAGUUGGUAAGGUAACGGCUUACCAAGGCUACGAUGGGUAGGGGUCCUGAGAGGGAGAUCCCCCACACUGGUACUGAGACACGGACCAGACUCCUACGGGAGGCAGCAGUGAGGAAUAUUGGACAAUGGGCGCAAGCCUGAUCCAGCCAUGCCGCGUGUAGGAUGACGGUCCUAUGGAUUGUAAACUGCUUCUAU
rnacentral:rRNA from 1 species